rnacentral:tRNA from 1 species
UGCCCGGUGGUGUAACGGUAGCACAAGGGACUUUGAAUCCCUCAGUCCAGGUUCAAAUCCUGGCCGGGCAGCCA